rnacentral:rRNA from 1 species
UUUAGUUGAUCCUGGCUCAGGAUGAAUGCUGGCGGUGUGCCUUAAGCAUGCAAGUCGAACGGUAAUUUUCAUUCGGGAAAAACGAGUGGCGGACGGGUGAGUAAUACGUAGGAACUUACCCUAAAGUGGGGAAUAGCUCAUCGAAAGAUGGGGUAAUGCCGCAUAUGGUCGCAAGAUCAAAGUCGCAAGACGCUUUAGGAGAGGCCUGCGCCCUAUCAGGUAGUUGGUGAGGUAAUGGCUCACCAAGCCAAUGACGGGUAGCCGGUGUGAGAGCAUGACCGGCCACAAGGUAACUGAGACGCGGUGCCUACACCUACGGGUGGCAGCAACUGGGAAUAUUGCGCAAUGGACGAAAGUCUGACGCAGCGACACCGCGUGUGGGAAGAAGCUUUUCGGAGUGUAAACCACUGUGGCAGGGGAACAAAUUUUGAGCGUACCCUGCUAGAAAGCACCUGCUAACUACGUGCCAGAAGCCUCGGUAAUACGUAGGGUGCAAGCAUUAUCCGGAUUUACUGGGCGUAAAGCGUUCCGUCGGCGGUUUAUCAAGUUUCGUCUUUAAUACUGGGGCUCGACCCCAGAUACAGGAUGGAAAACUAGUAGACUAGAGUUUACUAUGGGGAGCUGGAAUUCUCGGUGGAGGGGUGAAAUCCGU